GUUACACAUAACUAUUAACAAAUUUCAAACAAGUUUUUACAGACUGAAUACUUCUUUUAAAAGACUAUUUUCAUAUUAUCGACUUUUUGAAUUGGAGUAGAUAAUUCUGUACUUGAAUUUACUAAAUCAGCCAAUGAAAUUUCAGCCAUCAAAAUUUUGAAGAUGUAUUUAUCCAAAGAAUCCAAAUGAUCCCGAAAUAUCUCUAAAACAGAAAGUGGAACACAGUAUUGUCAGACCCUUGUAAGCAAAGUUUAGACAAAGGAUCUGUAUUUCAAUAAGAUUGGGUACUCAAUUGAGUUAGAGCAACUAAGAGUUAAAAUGAAUAUUACAAUUGGUGAUAUUUGGGAGGGAAAUUAAGUUUCAAUUUUUGAUAUUUUGUGUUUUAACAACACUUUUAAGCUCUGCUUUUGGGCUAUUUUGUGGCGGCCAGUUUUUGUUAGUGGAGGAAGCUGGAGUACCCAGAGAAAACCACAAAUUUUGAUAGGAAAACUGACAAUCCUAGUCAAUAAAGAUUAGAGUCGAGUGCACCUGCACAAGUGGGUUUGAUCUCACAACCUCAGUGUUGACUGGGUAGUGAUUUCAGUAGUAUUAAAAUUAAAAGUUUUCUUUCCCACCAAGUCAUCAUAUAAGAAUUAAUUAUUCUGCCAAAUUGCACCAAUUGUAAGCUUUAUUUUCCUUCUUUUAGUCUAGCCUGAUAAGAGAACCAAAGUGUCCUACCAUUAUACAGGUAUUCUGUUGAUGAAAAAUUAUAUACUCUAAAGUUGAUAAUAUGAAAAUUGUCUAUUUGUUAUUUCAAAACAUCCAAUUAUUAUUUCAUUAUUUUGAAACAUUAUUUCGUUAUCUUAGAUAUGAUUAUUCAUGCACUAUUUCCAAAAAUCUGAAAAAACUAAGAAACGAAAUAGUACUUGAAAUAAUGAAAUAAUAAAACAUCGAAAAAAUAGAAUAGAAUAGUUGUUAAAGAAAUAUUUCAUUUUCUUAUCUAAUGUAAAAUAAAUAACAUUUCAAAAUAAUAAUAAAAGAAUAAUUUCUCUGAAUAAAUAAGCCAGGAUCCAGUAAUAUACUGACCCUUCUGCUGCUUAAAAGAGCAAACAUAAAAAUGCCACAAAAAAUAAUAAACUAGUUAGAAAAACAUCAUAUCAUCGAUUCAUAUGCCUUUAUUCAUGAGCGCAAAGAUACAAAACAACAACCAAUUAUUAAUAAAUUUGGACAACUAAUAUUGAAGGAAUUGAUUAUUUUUCAGGAUAUUUUUACCCUUGCCUAUCAUUAAUAUCAACUAAAUGUGAAAAGCAACAGUGCCAUUCUAAUCACAUCUUAUUUAAAGACAGCCAUAAAUUGAUAAUACAUGAGGGUAGGAAUGAACUUCACUGUCAUGCAUCAAACAGUCAUUUUCGGCUACCGUUAGCAUCUAAUUAGUUAAAAUUUUACCAUGAUUCAUCAAAAUAUUCUU
rnacentral:lncRNA from 1 species